rnacentral:rRNA from 1 species
CUGACGAGUGGCGGACGGGUGAGUAAUGUCUGGGAAACUGCCUGAUGGAGGGGGAUAACUACUGGAAACGGUAGCUAAUACCGCAUAACGUCGCAAGACCAAAGAGGGGGACCUUCGGGCCUCUUGCCAUCGGAUGUGCCCAGAUGGGAUUAGCUCGUCGGUGGGGUAACGGCUCACCUAGGCGACGAUCCCUAGCUGGUCUGAGAGGAUGACCAGCCACACUGGAACUGAGACACGGUCCAGACUCCUACGGGAGGCAGCAGUGGGGAAUAUUGCACAAUGGGCGCAAGCCUGAUGCAGCCAUGCCGCGUGUAUGAAGAAGGCCUUCGGGUUGUAAAGUACUUUCAGCGGGGAGGAAGGGAGUAAAGUUAAUACCUUUGCUCAUUGACGUUACCCGCAGAAGAAGCACCGGCUAACUCCGUGCCAGCAGCCGCGGUAAUACGGAGGGUGCAAGCGUUAAUCGGAAUUACUGGGCGUAAAGCGCACGCAGGCGGUUUGUUAAGUCAGAUGUGAAAUCCCCGGGCUCAACCUGGGAACUGCAUCUGAUACUGGCAAGCUUGAGUCUCGUAGAGGGGGGUAGAAUUCCAGGUGUAGCGGUGAAAUGCGUAGAGAUCUGGAGGAAUACCGGUGGCGAAGGCGGCCCCCUGGACGAAGACUGACGCUCAGGUGCGAAGCGUGGGGAGCAACAGGAUUAGAUACCUGGUAGUCCACGCCGUAAACGAUGUCGACUUGAGGUUGUGCCUUGAG